UGAGUCGGUCCGUCCGGGGAUCCGGGAAACUGAAGACUGCGCUGGGAUCGGCCUUACCAGGGAGACUUCCACCUGAGGGCGGGGCCUCGGGUGCGUCUCAACUGGAUCUAAUCAUGAUGUGCGCAGUGCCUGUGCCUUGGUUCAUCUGCCAGGUGAAUUGAAUAUUCAUGCUGUCCCAGAAGCCCUGUUUUUGUUCUGAGGAGGCACAGAAGCCAAGAAAGGGCUGAAGGCACUAGGGUGUCCUUGCUCUUAAGAAGUCACUUUCCAUUCCCCUCAGAGCCUAUUGGUCACACUGAAGAUACGACUGCCUUGAGCAGGCUUGGCCAGCCUCCAAUCUGCAAAUUGUGUGAUUCUCAGUGUAACUACCAAUCCUGCCUCACAUCAAAUUAGAAACUUACUCAAAACAGUAUAAGCUAUCCAGAGGGCCCCAGCAGAGGACUUCCAGGGAAUGCAAAAAGACCUGGGUGCCGUGAAUCACUUCCUGGAAAACUCUGAAGGAAAGAUGGUGCAUUAAAGUGGAUCCUCCUAUUAAGCCACAGAGACUCAGGACUUUCUUGACAGCUUUUAUGGCCAGCCCUAGUCCAUCUGCAAAUACACGCCCAUCCAGUCCUUAACAAAAUCCAUUGGAGCAUGUGCAGUGGUCAGAUGGGGACACUAUGGCCGAAGGCAGAGACCUCCAUCACUCAGUAGGCGGCAGGACUCAGUUGGUCCUAGAACUUCUGUAUCUCCUGUUUUGACAACGGUGCCUUUGAACUGCGGAAGGAUUUUUGCAAAGCACGGUAUCAAUCUCUGUCCAGUACUGAUACUCUGGCUAAAUAUGACAGGUCUCCGAAGAGACACCCUCUGAGCAGUGGCUCAGGCUGGAGUGCAGUGCUGUGUGCACUUCAGCUGGGUUGCUAACCAGCAGCUUUGGAGUUGUAGACAGGAGGUAGACAGGAACAGACUUGCAUUUUCAAUAGAAUCGGAACCCAGAGUGUGGAGGUAAGUGAUUGGUGACUCACUGUGCAGAAUUCAAGCUAUGCCUUCCAGAGCCAAGUCCUCCUCUGCCUGGCAUGUCAGGGCAGUGGCACUUCAGUGGCUGUGUCGCUUGUCCUGCCUGCAGGCUUGGAGGGGAAAGGAGAACUGCUGAUCUCCCAAGUGAAGGUGAAAGAUUGCCCCUGCUGACUUCUUGAAGCAGCAGACACGGACUAAGAGCCUCUCCCGUCCAUAGAGUCUUGCCGGAUGCACCUAGAACCCUCCCUGCUCUUGAUCAAUACUCAAAGUGGAACCUAUGGGCCUUAGAAACAGGAAGCCUCACUCUAGCCCUUAGUCCAGGCCCUGGGCCUCCAUUAGCUAUUGCUUGAUUGAAACACACACAACACACACACACACACACCACAUACACACACACACAAACAUGGAGCCGACAGAUACAACCUUCCCCAGUGGGGCAGAUGUGGUUAGUAGAUGUGGUUAGUAGAAAUAAUCUAGAACGUGCCACCUGCUCUACAAAUAGAAUCUUGUCCCUCAGCCUGGAUUUUUUGGGCUUCUCUCUGGCUGUGGUAUGUGCUAUGCAUGAUAGCACACCUCUCUUCUACCCAUCUUCAUCUGAGUGUUUUUUUAGGAACACCAUCUUAGCAGGAGAGGGUAUGGGCCCAUUCCUUCUCCUUGCCUUAUGAACUUGAAUGUAAAAGAUGGCAUACAGACCUCACACAAAAAUAUCCCCAGUCAUUUCAAAGAAAUGCUGUGUCUUCCUUCUAUCCCCCAGAUGGCCCUGACCUCUCCUGGUUUUGAGGGUGCCAUUUCCUCAUUCUUCUAAAAUAACAGUGUCUCCAAACCCUGUCUUCCAAAUGCAGGAAGUUUAUCUGUUGCUGGGUUUCUAGACCAGAGCCUCCCUAGAGCUCUGUCUGUCACAUGAUAGUGACCUCAGAGCUUCAGCAGUCUGCUUCAGACACAUACAAAAACAUGGUGCAUUUUAAAAUGCUGUGUCAAAGUCUUUUGCAGAUAUGUGAAGUAUUCAAGAUAUUGUCAGUUAUAAUUGCUUCAGGACGUGGCCAACAGAAGAAUCACCCCGUUUCUGCCCCAUUCUACACUGGGCAGUCUGUGCAGUGGGACAGACCACCACUCCUACCUUUGACUUCUCCAGCCUUCUCCAUAAAAGAGGAGGACGCUUUCUCUGUGUCUUUAACUUAUUCAUUAUUAUUUAUUUCUUUUAUCUCAAGAUGAUUCACAGAAGGAACAUCACCAUCCUUCAAGAGGAAUCCCCAGCUACGGGGCAGUGGUGCAACCCUACUCCAGUGGACCACACAAGAGACACACACUAAUUUCACACUAAAUGAUACUAUGGGGACAGAAGUUGUGUGCCCAGAUGGUGGCAUGUAAGGCCUUUCCCUCAGCAGUUCCUUGUUGUGGGUUGUCCUGAUGCCAUUUGAAUUCUGAUAUUAAUUCUGCUUCCUCAAAAGGAGCAAUCAAUCACAUGCUCAGGUUAUCUCAUGUGAACAUUCUCCCCUUUUACUGAUCAAUAAAGGCCUGUGAUUGGGGAGCAGAGGGUAAAGGUGGGACGGGAAGUCUUUGAAACUGGUGCAGGGAUAGAGAGGAGAACAAGAAGGGAAGGAAAGAGGAUGGGAGAGGAGGAGGAGGAAGCUAAGAUGAAGCAGAACCACGUGGCCAGGAGAAACUGCAAGUAGCAAAGAGUCUCAUAGCUGGGGAAGUUGGUAUGGUGCUAGUUCUGCUCAAUCUAGGCUUAUGGCUUAUAAAUAUAAUAACUAGAUUGUGUGUUUUUAUAUGGGAUUGUUGGGGUUGGAAAUGACUACAAUAGCUCCUCUGCAGAGAAGAAGAGAUUGCGUUGGCCUGAAUGAAGCCUCUCUAGGCUUCUGCAAACAGAAUUCAUGUUACCAAUCACUUGGCUGGAGUAGGAAAGGAAUUGCUAUUUUAUUAUAAACAGACCUGUGUCCUUGAGUGCCAAAGCUGUGUGAGCUGAGCUGAUACAUUCAGAGGCUUAGAGCUCUAAGCUUUCAAAAAUGGAAGUCUAUGGUUCUGGGUUCUAACAGCUAGAGGCUAGUGGCUCUAAGUGCUUAGGUGGGAGCCCUGUUGCUCUAGGCUUUGCCAGUGGCCUGGUACCUGUCUGCUAGUGCAGGCCUUGCCUCAUAGCAGUCUUCUGUAGCAGCAGUCAAUACCAACUUAUGUUAGAACUCUGAAAUUUGGGGUUUGGGUGUCCCAUGACUCCUAACAAUGGCUAAUGUCACAACUCUUGAGCCUGUGUGUUAAGACACUUAGCCCUAUACUUCCAUAUUGGAUAUCAACACCUUUGGCCCUUAGGGUUUAGCAGCUCCCUGGAACUCGCAAAGACCUAUAGUCCUUUGACUUCAGAUCCUUAAAGCCUUCUCUAUACUUCCACUGUAUUUUGUAGCUAACACUGCUUCUGCUCCCCACUGCCUCUGCUUCUGGCUUUUCUCUAGAACUCUUCAGUAACUCUCCAGACAUCCAGUUUCUGUUACUGUUAUUGAUGGCACCACUGGCACCUCUGCCAUUUCUGCGGUGCCCCCACCACCACUUAGGUGCCACUCGCUCCCACUGAUUCUCUGAUGUCUCUUCUUUGUGUUACCAGCUCAACCCACUUCUUAUGACAAGAGUCAAAAGUUGACAAAGGUCAUUCCAGAAAUGUCUUUUAUUGGACAUGGUGUCACAGCCUCGGGAGGCAGCCGAGGAGGUUAUUUCCUACAUCACUCAAAAUGUCAGUCAAACAGCAUGUUUAUAUAGACAGAAGUGGGGAAUGAAGAACUAUUUCCCACCAAUGAUGGCGCAGUCAUUUGUGUAAAUGACAAGUUAUAGGCCAUCAGGGGAAAUAGUCCUCCUCUGACCAGCAUGAAGCCUGAUGCUAGUGUUUACCAACACUUGUGAGAGCAAAAAAGACAGAUCCAAGUUGUUUGAAACAGUCAUGGCUGGAACAGAACUUUCUGAAGUCAAGUGGGAUUUCAGCAAAUAAAUAAAUAAAUAAAUAAAUAAAUAAAUAAAUAAAUAAAUAAAUA